rnacentral:pre_miRNA from 1 species
UGACAGAAGAGAGUGAGCACCCAUGGCGUUUUUCUUGCAUGGAUGUUCCAUGCUCGAAGCUCUGCGUGCUCUCUCUCUCUCUGUCAUC